UACGGAGGGUGCAAGCGUUAAUCGGAAUUACUGGGCGUAAAGCGCACGCAGGUGGCUGAGUCAGUCGAUUGUGAAAGCCCUGGGCUUAACCUGGGAAUUGCAGUCGAUACUACUCGGCUCGAGUAUGGGAGAGGGCAGUGGAAUUCCCGGCGUAGCGGUGAAAUGCGUAGAUAUCGGGAGGAACAUCAGUGGCGAAGGCGGCUGCCUGGCCCAAUACUGACACUCAGGUGCGACAGCGUGGGGAGCAAACAGG
rnacentral:rRNA from 1 species